AGACUUGAGUCAUGUGGCUAGGAGACAGGCUCACCUUUCUACCCCAUCCCUGGUCCAUCCACUUCUGCUUCAGGCCUGUGAAUGAAGGAAAUAACCUCCCCUGUGUCUCUAAAGUUACAUUCUGGGAAGAAACGGAGUCAUGGAAGGAUAUAGAAUGAAGUAGCUCUGUUCAACAAGGAAAUCUGUAGCAAAACCAAUCCUGGAAACCCAAACUAGGGGUUUGAUAUCCAUCUCUUUGCCCAUCAGGUCAUAUUUCUUUUGGAGAAAAUUAGAAAUGAUCUAAAGAAAAAGGAAGAAAAUUGAAGAACUUUCCUCCCCAAGCCCUGUAUUAACAGAAUCUACAUUUUUCUGUUGAUUGCACAGAGGUCAGCCCCCCAGGGUUCACGGGAAACUGGACGGCCUCAUCCUCAGAGCCAUGCUUUGCACUCUUUAUCUUUUACACAGGGUGCAAAAGUGUUGCUUAGCAACAUCGAUUCUUCCAGCUCUAACAACUGCGGCAGCCCGCACAGCUGACAAUGGAGCAGAGUUUGCGAGUGAGCUCCUCAUUUUUCAGCUUCUUCACUGUGGCGAGAGGGAAUAAAGAAAGAAAAGGGUAGAAGUUCAUCUCCCUCUUAACAGAAACAGAACUUUCAUCAGUUCUGCCCAGAAUAAUGAUAACAAUAACAACAAACAGAAAACAGAAAACACC
rnacentral:lncRNA from 1 species